GUGCUUAACACAUGCAAGUCGAACGGAAAGGCCCUGCUUUUGUGGGGUGCUCGAGUGGCGAACGGGUGAGUAACACGUGAGUAACCUGCCCUUGACUUUGGGAUAACUUCAGGAAACUGGGGCUAAUACCGGAUAGGAGCUCCUGCUGCAUGGUGGGGGUUGGAAAGUUUCGGCGGUUGGGGAUGGACUCGCGGCUUAUCAGCUUGUUGGUGGGGUAGUGGCUUACCAAGGCUUUGACGGGUAGCCGGCCUGAGAGGGUGACCGGCCACAUUGGGACUGAGAUACGGCCCAGACUCCUACGGGAGGCAGCAGUGGGGAAUAUUGCACAAUGGGCGGAAGCCUGAUGCAGCAACGCCGCGUGCGGGAUGACGGCCUUCGGGUUGUAAACCGCUUUCGCCUGUGACGAAGCGUGAGUGACGGUAAUGGGUAAAGAAGCACCGGCUAACUACGUGCCAGCAGCCGCGGUGAUACGUAGGGUGCGAGCGUUGUCCGGAUUUAUUGGGCGUAAAGGGCUCGUAGGUGGUUGAUCGCGUCGGAAGUGUAAUCUUGGGGCUUAACCCUGAGCGUGCUUUCGAUACGGGUUGACUUGAGGAAGGUAGGGGAGAAUGGAAUUCCUGGUGGAGCGGUGGAAUGCGCAGAUAUCAGGAGGAACACCAGUGGCGAAGGCGGUUCUCUGGGCCUUUCCUGACGCUGAGGAGCGAAAGCGUGGGGAGCGAACAGGCUUAGAUACCCUGGUAGUCCACGCUGUAAACGGUGGGUACUAGGUGUGGGGUCCAUUCCACGGGUUCCGUGCCGUAGCUAACGCUUUAAGUACCCCGCCUGGGGAGUACGGCCGCAAGGCUAAAACUCAAAGGAAUUGACGGGGCCCCGCACAAGCGGCGGAGCAUGCGGAUUAAUUCGAUGCAACGCGUAGAACCUUACCUGGGUUUGACAUGGAUCGGGAGUGCUCAGAGAUGGGUGUGCCUCUUUUGGGGUCGGUUCACAGGUGGUGCAUGGCUGUCGUCAGCUCGUGUCGUGAGAUGUUGGGUCAAGUCCCGCAACGAGCGCAACCCUUGUUCACUGUUGCCAGCACGUUAUGGUGGGGACUCAGUGGAGACCGCCGGGGUCAACUCGGAGGAAGGUGGGGAUGACGUCAAGUCAUCAUGCCCCUUAUGUCCAGGGCUUCACGCAUGCUACAAUGGCUGGUACAGAGAGUGGCGAGCCUGUGAGGGUGAGCGAAUCUCGGAAAGCCGGUCUCAGUUCGGAUUGGGGUCUGCAACUCGACCUCAUGAAGUCGGAGUCGCUAGUAAUCGCAGAUCAGCAACGCUGCGGUGAAUACGUUCCCGGGGCUUGUACACACCGCCCGUCAAGUCAUGAAAGUUGGUAACACCCGAAGCCGGUGGCCUAACCGUUGUGGGGGAGCCGUCGAAGGUGGGACUGGUGAUUAGGACUAAGUCAUAAC
rnacentral:rRNA from 1 species